rnacentral:sRNA from 1 species
UAUUCAUCCCAUGCGGGAAGGAUGAGAGGCUUCGACUAAGGUUCGAUUCGAGCGAAGCGAGAAAGCGUUGCCGCAGGCAACGACCCGAAGGGCGAGGCGCAACGCGCCGAGUAAUCCUUCCCCCCACCCUC